GCCGCCGCCGCCCUCUCGCGCCAUUUCGGAUAAUUAGCUGUUUGCAGCUGGAUAAAGCAAGAACCGAGAUAUAUGUAAGUGAAGGCAAGGAGACAAGACAUUAAAUUCCAAAUAUUUGAGCUGUCAAAACAUAACCACAUCAUCACUAUGCAGGAUGGUGUGUUUAUUUUGUUUUCUGUUUUGUUUUGCUGACGGAAGAAAUUUUAGGACUGGACCAUAAAAUAUCCAGCUGUGUUCGGCCAGAGUAAGCAGAGAAUGGAAGGAGUUGAGAUGUUUCCAUAUUUUAUUUAAGGAUAACUAAUUCAGUUUGUUGCUCUUUGUGAUAAUGACUUCUAAUUUUACAGUCACUCUUUCCCUUUGAAGUUCCUUUGUUUGAUGAAUAAAUCUGCAAUGUGAA